rnacentral:rRNA from 1 species
GACGAACGCUGGCGGCGUGCUUAACACAUGCAAGUCGAACGGAAAGGCCCUGCUUUUGUGGGGUGCUCGAGUGGCGAACGGGUGAGUAACACGUGAGUAACCUGCCCUUGACUUUGGGAUAACUUCAGGAAACUGGGGCUAAUACCGGAUAGGAGCUCCUGCUGCAUGGUGGGGGUUGGAAAGUUUCGGCGGUUGGGGAUGGACUCGCGGCUUGUCAGCUUGUUGGUGGGGUAGUGGCUUACCAAGGCUUUGACGGGUAGCCGGCCUGAGAGGGUGACCGGCCACAUUGGGACUGAGAUACGGCCCAGACUCCUACGGGAGGCAGCAGUGGGGAAUAUUGCACAAUGGGCGGAAGCCUGAUGCAGCAACGCCGCGUGCGGGAUGACGGCCUUCGGGCUGUAAACCGCUUUCGCCUGUGACGAAGCGUGAGUGACGGUAAUGGGUAAAGAAGCACCGGCUAACUACGUG